rnacentral:rRNA from 1 species
UACGUAGGGGGCAAGCGUUGUCCGGAAUCAUUGGGCGUAAAGAGCGUGUAGGCGGUCCGGUAAGUCGGCUGUGAAAGUCCAGGGCUCAACCCUGGGAUGCCGGUCGAUACUGCCGGACUAGAGUUCGGAAGAGGCGAGUGGAAUUCCCGGUGUAGCGGUGAAAUGCGCAGAUAUCGGGAAGAACACCAACGGCGAAGGCAGCUCGCUGGGACGGUACUGACGCUGAGACGCGAAAGCGUGGGGAGCGAACAGG